UCCAGUAUGACUUGUUUCAGGGAUGAGGCACAAAGAAAGGAGUGGCCUAGAAGUAACACUGUAAAAGAAUAAAGUAAACAAAAGGCUGUGUCAGCAAACUGUUUAAUGACAGUCAUCACGGUUGCGUUCCUUGCUCUAUAACGUACUUCUAUGUGAGGACACAAAGAAGUGAUUUUAUUUGAAUGUUCAGAUCUGGAAAUAGCUGCUGAGAUUCCUCCUACUGUUGUGUAGAUGGAACUGCCGUUCACCGGCUUUGAGCUGACCUUCAUCAUCUUUGCCUUCUUCAUCUUCUCGCUCUUCAGCUUGGCUUCAGUCUGCAUCAAACCAGAACCAGGACAUCAAGAAAAGUGUGGCAGGGAAGCAAAGGAGUCACAGCCAUUAAGCAGAAAGCAGAGAGUGAUCAACAAACAAGCUGGAAAGAAACCAUAAAGUCACACUCUGUCUGUCUUGAUCUGCUGUACUGCAGGGCAUUCAAGUUUAAGUUCUCAUGAAUGACUGGAAAUUAGAAUUAGAAUCAGAAAAUGAACUGAAAACAUCACAUUAAAAUAUUGAACUUGUACAGAUCACUGUAAAUAUUGUAUUAUCUCAUCUGACACUGACAUACACCCAUCUCUGCUCUGGUAUUGUUAAUUUAAACUAACAAUCUUUGUUUUCUAUGUGGAACAAAUCUGCUCAAAUCAUCAGUGUUAAUCAGGAUUUAUCCAAAAUAUGCUAACAAUAAACGUGUUUAUGAUGAUGAAGUCUCUGAGCCAGCCUUAUACACAAUUGGCAUUUGUGACAACUUCAAUUCAAAUGUACAGUGUGGGAAAUGCUUAAAUCAAGUUUAUAUCCCUCUUGAUUUUGUUAAAUAGUAGUUUUCUAAAUCUGUACUCUAUUUGAUCAUACGCACCUGAUGCAGCUGCGGCACACACUUCAGCGUGAGCUGAAAAUACAUUUUGUCUUCACUCACAAUUUGUAGGUGCUGUAUCUUGGUGCAAAUGUCAGUUAUUUAAUCGUCAAUGUUUUAUUAUGAACAAUGUCAUUUAAAUGUUUUAAAGAAAAUGUACAAAAAUUGCUAACAGUGCACUUCUGUUAGAAACGCACACACUAGAUUUACUACAUUUACUGAUCAGGUGUGUUUACAAUCUAAGCCAACAUGUAUGGCUGCACUGUUGAAAUACUCUCACAUACAAAUGCUAGUUUGUGGUCAUGGGGUUUACACGCAAAACAUGAAAACCACCCUGACAAAAGUUAAAUCAGUAAAACAUGUGUGAUGCUUCUCUCUAUGUCCUUUGUGUAUUUGUAUCUACUGGCGGGUAUGGCUUGAAAUCCACAAAGCACUUAAUAAACCAAACCGCUGCAUAGACA